CUACGGGCGGCAGCAGUGGGGAAUAUUGCACAAUGGGCGCAAGCCUGAUGCAGCCAUGCCGCGUGUAUGAAGAAGGCCUUCGGGUUGUAAAGUACUUUCAGCGGGGAGGAAGGGAGUAAAGUUAAUACCUUUGCUCAUUGACGUUACCUGCAGAAGAAGCACCGGCUAACUCCGUGCCAGCAGCCGCGGUAAUACGGAGGGUGCAAGCGUUAAUCGGAAUUACUGGGCGUAAAGCGCACGCAGGCGGUUUGUUAAGUCAGAUGUGAAAUCCCCGGGCUCAACCUGGGAACUGCAUCUGAUACUGGCAAGCUUGAGUCUAGUAGAGGGGGGUAGAAUUCCAGGUGUAGCGGUGAAAUGCGUAGAGAUCUGGAGGAAUACCGGUGGCGAAGGCGGCCCCCUGGACGAAGACUGACGCUCAGGUGCGAAAGCGUGGGGAGCAAACAGGAUUAGAUACCCUUGUAGUC
rnacentral:rRNA from 1 species